GCUCCCAUCGUUCAACGGAUAGGACAUUUCCUUGCGGAGGAAAAAAUGUAGGUUCGAUUCCUGCUGGGAGCA
rnacentral:tRNA from 1 species